rnacentral:rRNA from 1 species
CCUACGGGAGGCAGCAAUAGGGAAUCUUCCGCAAUGGACGAAAGUCUGACGGAGCAACGCCGCGUGAACGAUGAAGGCCUUCGGGUCGUAAAGUUCUGUUGUUAGGGAAGAACAAGUGCUAGUUGAAUAAGCUGGCACCUUGACGGUACCUAACCAGAAAGCCACGGCUAACUACGUGCCAGCAGCCGCGGUAAUACGUAGGUGGCAAGCGUUGUCCGGAAUUAUUGGGCGUAAAGCGCGCGCAGGCGGUUUCUUAAGUCUGAUGUGAAAGCCCCCGGCUCAACCGGGGAGGGUCAUUGGAAACUGGGAAACUUGAGUGCAGAAGAGGAAAGUGGAAUUCCAAGUGUAGCGGUGAAAUGCGUAGAGAUUUGGAGGAACACCAGUGGCGAAGGCGACUUUCUGGUCUGUAACUGACGCUGAGGCGCGAAAGCGUGGGGAGCAAACAGGAUUAGAUACCCUGGUAGUCCACGCUGUAAACGAUGAGUGCUAAGUGUUAGAGGGUUUCCGCCCUUUAGUGCUGAAGUUAACGCAUUAAGCACUCCGCCUGGGGAUACGGUCGCAAGACUGAAACUCAAAAUGAAUUGACGG